rnacentral:rRNA from 22 species
AACUUUCAGCAACGGAUCUCUUGGCUCUCGCAUCGAUGAAGAACGCAGCGAAAUGCGAUAAGUAAUGUGAAUUGCAGAAUUCAGUGAAUCAUCGAAUCUUUGAACGCACCUUGCGCUCCUUGGUAUUCCGAGGAGCAUGCCUGUUUGAGUGUCAUUAAAU